AAUCACAAUCAUGAAUGCUGUAAAUGCUGUGCAGCUGUUCAUUCUGGUUUGGACCUUUACUGCUGUCUGUCAAGCUGAUGAACAUUUCAUAGUAAGCUGUCAGAAUGUGACUGGAUCUAUGAGGAAAGAAGUAACUCUCACCUGCAGCGUCUCUCUGCAGAUCACUGAAUGCUGCAUUAUAAAGUAUAAGUUUCAAUACCCUGAGAUCUAUAAAGACUCUGCAAUCUGUCGUGAAGAUGUUCCUGUGAACUCCUGUGAACAGAGAAACAGUUUCACAUGCAGCUACACUCCAACUACAGCGAUGACAGAACAAUUCAGAUUCUUUGUGCAAACAAAGUGUGGAGUGAAAGGAGGAGAAUUUGCUGUGAACAUAACAGGACCCAUGAAAGGUGAAAUUGACACUGAAGCUCCUGGAAAGAAAGAAGAACCUGUUGGGGACAUAUCAGAAACAUCUGAACAGAAGAAACCGGAAGAUCGUGGAUUUAAGAUCGCUGUCAUCGCUGCUGUUAUAAGCUGUUUUAUCAUCAUCAUAAUGCCCAUCAUUUACAGAUUGACACAAAAACACACCAACCGGAACAGGACUCUUCUGAGUGUCAGAUAUGAAGAAGACGACGGCAAUCAUCCAGAAACAAAAACUGAAAAUAUGAUAUAAUAGCAGUACCAAACUAAUUUGUUUGUCUUAUCAUACAGUGCUCAUAAAAGACACAAGCUUUAUUUGAGCUCCAGCAAACUUCUCUACUAUCUGUUAAAAUUUAAACUACUCAACUAUAUAAAUACGAUUGCAAAACUCUGUUUCUGUUUUAUAUUAAUUUCUAUGAAAUAAUGAUAUAUUAUAGAUCUGUUUGAUCAGUGUAUUUAUAGUUCUUUUUCUGCACAUGCAAUUUCCUAAUAGCAUGAACAGUAAGGUUUGUACAGUGUGUUUUACUGAUUUAAAAAGGAAGGAGCUCAAUAAAGACUUGUGAUAGGCUACUCUCUAAAGAUAG
ensembl:lncRNA